UAUUUGCUAACCGGAAGACGACGAUAGCUAAAUACUCCACGUUGAAGUCAGUGGCUAUCAGCAUAUAAAAUGUCGCUCUCAAUCGUCCAGGUUUGCUGUAAACCAGGGUUCAAGUGGAACAAUGCAAAUUUAAGCUGCAAUUCCGCACAGCAUACAUUGGAAGAUAUGGGCUGACCUGACUCAUCAUGGAGGAGCGACCAGCCUGAAACACACCAUGUGGCAGAGAUGCCUUGUCUGAAGAUGAGAUUGUUGAUCCUUACGUGGCCAAGAGUCGAAACACGGAGAGCAUUUGUCAAAAUAUCUAAGAAGUGCAGUAAUCCAUGGCCUUCACACAGUGGCCCAAAGAAACACGGCUGCUACGACUGACCUCCAAACCGCGAAGGCCUGAGGAUGGUAGGUUUGCACACACUGUUAUGCAGCAUAAUUAGUUUUCCUGGCACUGAAAGUCAGCACUGCACUGAGGCAUGGCCGAAUUCUGUUCCAGCUGGUCUGUGGUGGAUACAGUCAGACACCAUGCAAAAGCCACAUCUCAUUACUGUUAAAUGCCUGGAUGAGUGCUUCCCUCAGCCUCAUCCAACUGUACAGGAAUGAGUACAGUGAUAAACUUGGAAAUUGUAGAUGCUGCUCUGCCAAUAUUCCUGCUUGUUAGGAUAUAUUUUUAAACUGUUUGCUAAAUUCUGCAGAGCGCACUGGUGGCUGCUUCUAAAGCAGGAACAUGAGAAACAUAGUCAACUCCUUCACUCAUGCUCCACAAGGGAAAACAGUGUCUUGUGCUAAAAGCUAGCACCAUCUGCCCUUGAAUGCUUGUUUACUUGAAAGAUGUAUCUCACUCUAGUGUUGUAAUAAUAAACUUUUCACUGUGUUAAAAA